rnacentral:tRNA from 1 species
GGGCUCUUAGCUCAGCUGGUUCAGAGCACCUGCCUUACAAGCAGGGGGUCGCUGGUUCGAAUCCAGCAGGGCCCACAA